GACGAACGCUGGCGGCGUGCUUAACACAUGCAAGUCGAACGAAGUGGCGAACGGGUGAGUAAUACGUGGGUAACCUGCCCUCCUUUUUGGGAUAAGCCUUGGAAACGGGGUCUAAUACCGAAUAAAGGGGGAUGGGCUCGCGGCCGAUCAGCUUGUUGGUGGGGUGGUGGCCUCCCAAGGAGGGGACGGGUAGCCGGCCGGAGAGGGUGACCGGCCACAUUGGGACGGAGAUACGGCCCAGACGCGUACGGGAGGGAGCAGUGGGGGAUAUUGCACAAUGGGCGAAAGCCUGAUGCAGCGACGGCGCGUGGGGGAUGAAGGCUUUCGGGUUGUAAACCUCUUUCGCUAUCGAAGGGGUAGGUGGAGAAGAAGCGCCGGCUAACUACGUGCCAGCAGCCGCGGUAAUUC
rnacentral:rRNA from 1 species